GGGCGGCAGCGCCUGAGCGCAUUGGGUGCCCGCCGCGUCCGUCCGGCCCGCCGGGGGCUCCGCUUCCCGCCGCCCGCCCCUCUCCUCACGCCCGGCCCGGGGCGGCGGGAGCCUCCUGCCUGAGGGGGCAGCGGGGCGGUGUGGCACCGGGUCGGUGACCGUGCUCUGUUUCGGGGUGGCAGCCGCACCCGAGCAGUGCUGUCCAUCAUGGCCUCGCCUGCCCUUUGCCCUUUCCUGCUCCAAGAGCCACGCUCAGGGCGCUGGUGAAUCCUAGUUCAAGCACAGAGUAUGCCUGUGCUAACGCUGUGCUCCCAAAUGCCACCGUCAUGCAUAAAAAGGUGAGACAGGUCUUACGGCGUUUAUGCUUAAUCAGUGUAAUUUCAGAAUUAGUAUAACUAGAGUUCUCUUUACUAGGGUAUUUUAUUACAGGAAAAAAAAACCCCAACCAACAGCCAAGACUCAGGCUAAACUAGAAGUCAUAAUAAGCAAAAAAAUCAAAGACAUACUCCAAAGUUAUUUUUCCUAAAUACGUCCAACUUGUUCAUCUGUGUUUUCACAGGCAUUAUUCUGGCCUUAAAAGAAAAACUACAUCAAAGAGGCUUAAAAUUUUGUUAUUCAAAUAGUCUACAUAUACAAGCAAUUAAUCGCAGUCAGUACCACAAGCUGGUAUGACUGCUAACAAAAUGUAUUUCCAAUUUGUAUUUGUUGUCUUUUAAGUUAACGGAAUGCCUUGCUUUCUGUUUGAGGACCAGAGUGUUCAAAAUUAUGAGUUAGACACCCAGGAAGAAAUUGUAAUUACUCUGAAAUAGUGAUACUUUAAUUUAAAAAAAAAAUCAUAUUCUUUUCCCUUGCCUUUAAGAAGUUCAUGAAGUUCUUGAAGUUACAUAGAAAAGCUUUUGUUCAACACCAUGAGGGUCUCAAAUUGACUUACCUUCAUGCAGGUUUACAGUAGCCAUGUCUUUCCUAGAGCAGUCCCAGUAGGUUUCUUAGUAUCACCCAAACUCCCGCUCCCCUUCCUCUCCCAGACUCCUUCAGAGAUGUCCUGUGCAUUUUGCACUACCAGGCUCCUCGGGCCGAGCUCAGUUAAGUAGAAUGAGACUUUGAAGUCACUGAAGGUGAUUUAUCCUUCAGUAUUGCAGCUAUUCAGAUUAUUUAACUUCUGUUUCCACUUGUUGCUUACGUAACUUUCAUGAACCAGUCUACGCCUUUAGUUUUGAUCACUUUGCACUGGCGAGCAAUUGGCUAACUGGCAACUUCAUCUGAAUAUGGUAGUUGCUUCGGGUUAUCAUUAUGAUGAAUAGACAUCAUAAAUUUAAGAGGGCACAGAACUGACAUCAUCAUUGAAUACCUAUUCCAAAUACAUUUAAUUGAUUAUGUUGUAAGUGUACUUUAUCUGCUUGUAAAAAUUGGCAAUAUCAUUAACAAAUGCUGAGAAAAAAGCGAAUGAGUAUCUCCUUUUGCUUAAUCAAAUAUUACUUAUAUUCAAUAAUAGCUAGUGAUACAUCUCCUUCAGCUCAUGUAAAUCGUGAUUCUUCAUGAGCAAACCAAUUAGAGUUAAAAUUAGGAAUUUAUUGGGAGCAAGGGAUUAUUAUGUGAAGCUAUUAGGCAAAUUUGAAUUGGAAAUCCUAAAAUAGAAAGGUUUGGACCCAAAACAGACUGUAAUAUAUUAAAAAGUAUUAAAUUAGUUGCUAGGAGAGUGAUGUUACUUUGACUAAUCACUGAAUAAGUUACUGAUAUAAUCAGAAAAGAUGGGCCAUAAGUGCUUUCUGAGCCAUGUCAUACCAUGGGAAGCAUGCUCGGAGCCUGCGGCAGGGAAUUCAUGGGCUGGCAUUUAUACACACCUAUUUAUCAUCUUUAGCUUAAUUUCCUAAGCAAAUGAGGCUUGUGCAAUCAAACCGUCUGUCAGUUUGUGCCUUGUAAGUACAAGCAGUUGGCCAACGCAUUGACCAAUUUCAAACAAAUUUAAUCGGGUUGUAGAAAUGUUGAGCAAAAUGGAGUUCCUGUAAGUUUGGAGAAAUUAAAGGAGAGAUAUAUAAGGUAUAACCUCAUAAGCUCCCUAAGAGAAGGAAGGGCUACACGUUCUCAGACUCAGUUGGAUAACAGAGAACCUGUUAAGGGGAGGGAUGUUAGAAAUACCCCAUUUCUUUGGGACACGGGUUCUCACCAUCGACCACAAUAUGUGGGAAGCCAGUCCUCAUUAAGUCUGGACAUGACAGAACUACAUAGCUUUUUGUUUCCUUUGUUUUCCUCCUCUUAAUGUAAUUCUCUUGUAUUUUCUUUCAUUUUUUUUCACUGUCAGUUUUACUAAGCCUGAUUCCCUGAUUGUUUUGUAGCUAGGGAUACCAGUUUUUAAUAAAAUUUAUCACUGAACAGCUUCUGAGUUUUUCCAGAAUGAUCCAGUAAACAGAGCAGUUAAAUAGAUCAGGCAACAGGUCUUUUAUUUUUUUUUUUUAAUCCUACCAAUCAAUGGAUCAGGGAUCCGAAGUGAUGGAAAUGUACAGUGAAGGUUGUCCCAUACAAGUCACAGCCCAUUCAUUUGGUUGCCAGAAGCUAAGGAAUGUACUGGCAAGGCAUAUGUUAUUACCUCUCCAGCUACAAAAUACAUUCCAACUGCAGAUGUUUAGGCAAGAAUGACCUUUCUGUCCAGCGACUGAAGCUUACUAAUGCGUACAAAGAUUGUUUUAACACUCGGUGUCAUUUAUUAGUGGUCAGGAACUGAAGGAAUAGAAAAGUUGGUCUUGAAGAGGUGAAUGCUCCCUGGGAAAACUGAAUUUAUCCUUGCCUGAGGUCAUGGUUUGUGACAUUAGGGGAAGUCAGGCUUUUUAUAGCUGACCUAUCAGUUGCGUCUCCCUGAGUGUCCAGCUGAAGUAAUCAGUUGAACUCUGUUUGCUGGUGUCCUAAUUUGAGGUGAGGACAAGGAGGGCUGUGUUUUAACAUAGAAAGUUCUACGCUACUUAAUAUUCUGAAAAAUAAAAAACAGGCAUAAGGUGUCCCAAGCUGGACACUCAAAGUUAACGCAGCUUGGAUAUUUGUUUUCUGGUGCCCCGGUUCUGGCUGUAGAACAGUAGAUGAUGGCUGCCUUCCACCUCAUGGAUGCAUAUAAAGAUACACUUUUCUGAAUGACUCAGCAUUCAUGGUAGGACUGGUAGGAAAAUUCUGUGUAGGUACAUAGAAUACUUUAAACAUCAUUCCAUACUGAGAUGCAAAAAUGUGGUUACUAGUGGAGAUGAGCAAGGAGGCUAUGGUCUGACUUUGAAUAUCUCUGUUAGGAUGAGAGGAAAUGGCCUCAAUUUGCUUCAGGGGAGGUUUAGUUUGGAUAUUAGGAAAAAUGUCUUCACUGACAGAGUGGUCAGGCCCUGGCACAGGCUGCCCAGAGAGGUGGGGGAGUCACCAUCCCUGGAGGGGUUCAAAAAACGUGUAGACGUGGCACUUGGGGACGUGGUUUAGGAGGCCUGGGGGUGUUGGGUUGAUGGUUGGACUUGAUGAUCCUAGAGGUCUUUUCCAACCUUAAUGAUUCUGUGAUUCUAUGAUUUUGUUUCUGGUGCUUCCUGGCUUAAACAGUCGUGUCAUUUUACUGACUCCAAAACAUUAUCCUUUUUAAAUCAUUAAUGCAGGCAAGCAGAUGCAUUAAAAAGUACAGUUCUUUUAAUAGUAUGAGGAAGUAAUGGAACUAUGUAUGCCCGGAACUACAAAUUCACUCUACGUGUGACACAGAUGGGGCGCACUUGGAAUUGCCAUAUAUGACUUUACAUCAUUGCCAUACAGUCACCACAGAUGAACUUCAAGGGCCAGUACUCCAGUGUAUCCUGUGUCGGAGCUAUUAGUUGCCUCUCAAGGCAGAACAGCUCCUAAGAAACACUGGAAUUUGACUGCAGCCUUUGCUGCAAUCCCCAGAAAAAAAGUCCUCAUAGCGUUACAUGCUCCAUAGUUCUUAACGUGACAGCUACCAUACAAACAGGUAGUAAACACUUAAAACCAGUACUAGGAUCCCAAAUCAUUUAAAUACCGUGUUAAAAAAUGAAUUAACUUUAAACAAUGGUCAGAUGAUCCACCUUAUAAGAAACUUUCAUUUGGAAGCCUCUGUGUUCCUCAGGGCUCAUGUUUUACAAAAACCAGAAGAAUAAAAAUGUUUGAGUGCUAGUGAUAAUAUGAAUACUCGUACAAUUAAGGGGCUGGCUCUUAGAGCCCUUAGGCACUCACCUAACAGCAUGUUAUUUGCGUAGAACAGAAGUGCUCGAAGACAGGGAUCUGUGUGUAUUUUGCUUCUGUGUGUUUUGUUUAUACUACAGAUCAAUCUGAACCACUAAGUGAAAUGCAAAUGACAGUAAUGCUCAGCCUGCCCCGUGCAGGUGGAUGUGUUUUGUAGUAUGAGCAACUACAUGUAAAAGACGCGGGGCUGUGCCCCCAGUGAGGAGGGAAAAGGGAAAAAAUCCAACUCCUGGAGGAGCACCGUGCAAAUAUAAAGAGACCACUUCAGACACAGGAGCCUGGUGUUUUUUCUGCGCAGCAGAGUGUUGGGGAAUCCUGUGUCCUAGCUGAAAUAUUCUCAGAGGGAAGUGGGUUUCCUCAUUUUGCCAUUUCAAAAGAUAGCAGUUGCAUUCCGUAUUUUAUGAGUUAGAGGAAAAUGUUGAACUUGGGAGCGCUGACUGCAGACGUUUUUUCGGAUACAUAGAAUAAUCCCCAGUGAUUACAUUUUCCUGGUGCAUUUCCCAUUGGGCUGUCCAGACUGGAGGCCAUGGCAGAUGGAGAAGUAAAUAGCACCUGAAUAAAAGCCAGGGUCUGAUAUCCUACAGCUGUAAAACUGUCUGGCCCUCCAGGAAAGAGAAAUUUCAUCUCCACAAUUGUUUCCAUUAUCAUUGCACUGUAAGAUAAGGCAGUGACUGAUGAGCUAGUGUACAUUUCAUUGAUACUUACAUCUGUGAUAUCUCUGUGAUUUUUAGGGAUCUGAAGUAGAGUCUUUUAAGCAGAAUCUGGAAAGAACCAUUUACUUUGUAAAGUUAAUUCGAGGAGAGAAAACAAGCACUCAGGAAUUUAUGUAUAAAAUCUGAAGAAAUGUAGAUAAAGAACUUAAACGAGAUUCAAAUGAACUCAGGAAUUUAACAGCCAUACUGACAAUCAUUUUUGUCUUCAUGGGGCUGCCAUCUCCAUUAGUGAUAUUAUCAUGGCUUGCCAGACUCAAACAGAAACUGUUUUUCCAGUUACAGGGUUAUCCCUGGAUUGUAAUUUUAUUUUAAUUUUAGUUAUUUACUUCUAGCUUUUAUGCUGCUCUUAGACACCAGGAAAAUGCGUGCAACCUUCUCUCACAAAGCAUGACUAUCUGUCCUAAUUGUUAGUCUUGGAAGUGCUUUACUGUUACAUUACAAAAUAAAAUUAGUUCCAGUCCAAGGAACUUUACAGAUUUAUUUGGGAACAUAGAAGAGUAGAGAGGAGUGGAGAAAACAGCUGAAUUGGAGAAAGACCUGUCAGAAAAAUCAUAAGCUCUUCUGAAAGAUUUGCAACAUUUUGUGUUUCAGGUGUCACUGUUGAACUUGGUAGGAGUGGUUGCAUUUAAAUACAUACGUACUUGUUUGCAGUGCCUAGGCCUCAAUUUGUAAAAGGCUAUCUGGGAAGUCACUGAGCUCUUGCUAAAGAAAAGCAGUCCUUAAUUUAAGUGAAAACCCUAUCAUUCGUUGUGUUUCAGAAAAUCCUGCGAUUUCCCCAAUUUUUUUCCCUAGUCUUUAGGACUUCAUUUUGGGGGUGUGGGGUGUGGUUUGGUUGUUUUUUUGGUUAGCGUUUACUUUUUGUGCAAGUAUUUGUCUUACCGGUAGCUCAAAUACCUUGACAAAUUUGAGUGGAAUUCUUCUUUACCAUGUGAGCUGCUGUAGGAUUAACGUGGUCCUGGUGUUCCCAUGGCUCAAUGCACAUGACUGGACACCUUAACAGAUGUGAUGAUCCCUGUCCCCAGGUCUGCAAAGCUUUUCUCCAUUUCACUGACACAAGUACAGCUCUUACGCUGUUUUAAAUCUUUCUUCUUUGUGCACUGUGAUUAUUUUAUGACUGAGAUACCCAAAAUUGCUUCAGUCCUAUUGGUGAGGAAUUACUCCUGACUACUUCCUGUUGAGAGAAUUACUAUUUUUUGUUUGCUACCAAAACCUCAUUGAGCCACGUUUUGCCUGAUUCAGUUUCUGUUUGAGUUCCCUCAAAAGGUUUUGUGUAGGACUCUCUCCCCCUCCUCCCAUUUACUAGGAGAUAAAUGACUGCUUGCAGCUCUCAGUCACUGCCACAUCAGUUUUCUUCACAGCUUUCCCUGUUUGUCCAGCUCGUCAGUCUGUCUGGGAUAACGGGUGUUCUUGCAGAGAUUAGGUUUAUUAUGCAUGCACGUGUAAGCGAAUAAAGAACCACUACGGACUUGUUGUAUGAAGACGGUCCUGAAAGAAGUAAUUAAUGGCUAUACCAGUAAGGUUCUUGAACUAGCUGUAGAAAUGACAUUGGAAAUCCGUCUUUUUGUCUGUGAAAAAGCAUAGCUUGUCUUUUGGCUUGGAUCCGUGCAGCACUGUAAGGACAGGAAAAAAGAUCCCAGGAGCUGUUUGUUUUUUGCUGUUAUUAAAACCGAUGAGCUCAGUGUUUGGAAAUGCUGCAGAGAGAGAGAGAAGACCUGGAGCAAUGCAAAGGAAAUUCAUAUGCAGGGUGGGGAGGAGAAUGUCAGAUAGUCGGUGCCAUCUAGUGGGAGUUCUCCAGAAGACUGCGUAGAACCAGGCUGCUGCUUUACACCCUCAAGAAGUCUCACAGAGGUCAGGCCAUGAAAUAAAGCAAUCAUUGAUGAGGGUAUGGGUGCUCAGCAGCAUCAAUAAGCGAGGCAGGGAGUGUGUGAGAUGAAGGCAACAGCUGGUGGACCAUGUGUGGGUGAAAAAGUAAAGUUAAUUAAAUUGCUGAUACAGCUCUGUUACAAGGGGACUCGUGUCUUUUAGAGUUAGCUAACAAAUAAACCCCUAACACCACUGCUCAGUUAGUGCAGAAGAGCUCUUUGCCAGUGAUACCACACAAACUAACAGGAGGAUUGCUCUGAAAGGUUUGGGAGAGAUAUGAAACAGUGUGCACAUGCGUGAUUUAUUAAUCAUACCUGAACUGUAAGUGCUGUGAGGCAGUGGAGCUCAUAAAGUUUUACGGGCAUUUACACAGCACAUUUACACUGUGAAUAAAGAAGUGCUAUGGCUGCUAUUAAGAAACUUGAUAUGGAAUACUGCAUAAUAAAUAAUGAGCCUUGAGAGUAAAACCUACUCGUCUAUGUUAUCAGACAUUCUUGUGUCCUGGCCAUGACGAUGAAUAGUCUCUAAGAGGCAUGACGUCCAGCUCAGCGCAAGACUUUUUUGUUUGAUUUUUUUAAAAAAUUUAUUUGGUUUGCUUAGGAAAUGAUGCUGUAGUCAGCCAAGGGUGUCGUGUUUGUGUGUUGUUCGAUUUAAAGCCUUACAAUUCAUUUGCUGAUUCAAGCAGACUUAGCAGAAGGCAGCAAUCUCAGAUAUUGCACUCCUGAAAGUUUCAUGCGAAUUGGUGGCUGGAGAGAGGAGAGCGAGCCAUAAGGGAAAGGCUGAAAUGUGGCAUCAGCUAGCGUCUAGUAACAUGGCAAAAUACUUUAUAAAUAUUGGAAGCACAGGAAAAGCUACCAUGACUUUUCAUAGUAAACUACAAAACACAAGAUUUUCAAAGAUCAGCUUCUGUUGGAACUAUUUGUUUAUGCAAAAAUAACAAAACUGGUAGUAAACCAGGACUGUGAACAGGAUUAAGGUAUUAAGCAGCAUCGGUGGUUUUACUCCUGAUCACACUCCCUGAAGUGGAAUGACGUUGCUAGAGCAGUCAUUGCCACACCCCACCACGCUGCCUGGUACUACGGCACCGUUUAAUGCUACAAAACUUC